UAUUCCACCAUCUCGUAAGAGUGAGACGGCCUCAUACAUGGAAAAAGAAUAUCAACAAAAACCGCGUAGAGGAAGGCCUCCAACGCAAGACGAAAAAAUUGAAGUGCGUAAUUCCGUAGAAGAGAUUUAACUCUCAAUCCAUUUGCAAAUGCGAAAAAUGUCCUGCUUUAAUUGAUAUUAGUCGGCAAGAACAGCUCUAUAACGCACAUUACAAGGAAUCCAACUGUGCACAAAAAACACUUAUUUUGAGAUCGAGUGUGAUUGUUAAUCUUACUAAAGAGAGCUAUAAAAGAAGUGGAAAAUUCUUACCACUCACUAAAACGGGAGAAAGAGAGUACACAUAUACAUAUCAACUGACAGAUGAGCAUGGAAAACAGCAGACAGUUUGCCGUAACUUUUUCCUGAAUUUCUACCAGGUGCCAAGUUCAACUAUUCGAGAUCGAAUAAAAUCAGCUGUUCAUAAUCCAAGCGCUUCUGAGAGACGCGGUAACGCUCCUUGUCCAAGGAAAACGAAAGAAGAAGACCUCAACAAAGUUCGCGAUUUCAUCAAGCCAUUGCCUACGUACGAAUCACACUACGGUAGAUCAACAUCCCAACGGAAGUAUCUGAACCAAGGACUCAAUCUGAAUAAAAUUUACUACAAGUACAAGGAAAAGCUUAGGGAAAAAGCUGUAUCUAACACUAUCUUUCGGUCAAUUUUUAAUUCGGAAUUUAACUUAGCCUUCAAAAAGCGUCAUACGGAUACAACGAGAGCACCAUCAACUAGCAGAAAAAAUUCAGGCUGAGUUUUUGGAAGAUGUGGAAACAGCUAAGACUUCACAUGACACAUUGGUUCUGACUUUCGACCUCCGAAGGGCAUUACCAACCCCACGGGUGCCAACCGGCGAAACUUUUUAUAAACGUCAGGUGUGGACUUACAACCUUUGCGUUGUCGAUGAAGUCACAGGAGAAGGUGCCAACUGUAUAGCCCCAACCUCUUUACCUGUUUCCUGGAAAUUACCAACCCUGCCGGAUGGAUCGACAGUUUAUAAAGAUCGCGAGGUGAAAGAGAAAUUAUUUAAUAUGCAAAAACAGUGUACAUUGAAAAUACAUUGUUUGGAGCACGAACGGCUAAGGACACGGCACGGUGUCACUGUACUGCACUGGUUUGUAAGGUUCCAAAGACCAAACAGUAGAGUGAAUUAAGAAACCAACAUCGCACAUCUCGUUACUUUCUGCAUCAUCAAUGAAUGCUAAAAUGUUUGACUUAACACGUGGUUACCACACUUCUGCUAAUAUGCACCAGCAAAAUUUCCAAAUAAGUGUCUCUUGUCAUUCGGUAGGUAUAAGGGUAUCUCGCCCCAACUUUAAAUAUGUUCAUCAGUUACUCAGUCAUACCACGUAGGGCCCAGCUUCAUUCGCCUCUUACUGUUCGCAAGGUUCACUUCGAAAGUUGGGCUUGGUGCAAAUUUACACAAGUGUGGUUUCCUAGGGUGUAAAGUGGGUGCUUCGGAAAAAAUUGAAUUUCGCCUGAUAAUCGUUUUUUCGACUAUAUUUUCUCUAGAAAAUGGCUGGCGCACUAAUUUCUGGUUAUAAUUUGCGCAGUAUCCGAGCGGGUGUGCGUACACUACACGCUUCUUCUAGUCAAGAUGAAAAUGUUGGCAAGGACUCGAAAGGAGAUAAGGAUGAAUUUAGUAUUUGACAUUGAAAAUAUUGAGCAGGAAUCGGAUGAUCAAUUUAUUGAAGAGCAACUCAUACUACAUCGUAA